CCCAGCUGCAGACGGGGCCGCGACCAGCGCGGGCUGUCCGGGAGGGCGGUGUGGGCGCAUGGGAGCCGCACUUCUGCGUCCUGCUGCAGGAUGAGCAGACCCUCACGGCCUACCGCAGCGAGGAGCUCGCGGUUCUGCCCUGGACUCCAGUGGGGCGGAGGGAGAAGGUGGGCGACGCUCUCUUCGUGGACCUGCCGCGCGUGCGGCUCGACGGCGGCGUCAAGGCGUUCCGCCAGCGCUGGGGCUACGAGCUGCAGCCCCCGCCCACGCUGCUCGAGGAGGAAGAGGACGGCGGCGGCAACCUCUCCGUCAACGGCAACCAGGACCCGGAGGUGGCCUCCAUCAACAGCCCAAC